GGAGAGGUGUCCGAGUGGUCGAAGGAGAUCGUCUCGAAAACGAUUACGCCCCAAAAGGGCGUCGUGGGUUCGAAUCCCACCCUCUCCGCCA
rnacentral:tRNA from 1 species